rnacentral:rRNA from 1 species
GAUGAACGCUAGCGGCAGGCCUAAUACAUGCAAGUCGGACGGGAUUGGAGAGCUUGCUUUCCAUGAGAGUGGCGCACGGGUGCGUAACACGUAUGUAACCUACCUUGUUCAGGGGGAUAGCCUCUCGAAAGAGAGAUUAAGACCGCAUAACAUUGCAAUGUGGCAUCACAAAGCAAUCAAAUAUUUAUAGGAACAAGAUGGGCAUGCGGAACAUUAGCUAGUUGGUAAGGUAACGGCUUACCAAGGCUACGAUGUUUAGGGGAUCUGAGAGGAUCGAACCCCC